CACAGAGAGCUUGCUCUCGGGUGACGAGCGGCGGACGGGUGAGUAAUGUCUGGGAAACUGCCUGAUGGAGGGGGAUAACUACUGGAAACGGUAGCUAAUACCGCAUAACGUCGCAAGACCAAAGUGGGGGACCUUCGGGCCUCAUGCCAUCAGAUGUGCCCAGAUGGGAUUAGCUAGUAGGUGGGGUAAUGGCUCACCUAGGCGACGAUCCCUAGCUGGUCUGAGAGGAUGACCAGCCACACUGGAACUGAGACACGGUCCAGACUCCUACGGGAGGCAGCAGUGGGGAAUAUUGCACAAUGGGCGCAAGCCUGAUGCAGCCAUGCCGCGUGUAUGAAGAAGGCCUUCGGGUUGUAAAGUACUUUCAGCGAGGAGGAAGGC
rnacentral:rRNA from 1 species